GGCUUGAUGGUAUAACGGUUAAUGCCCUGCUUCAACUCAGCUGAAGGACUCCGUACUGCAGGUACUGCAGGUGAUCCCGGUUCGACUCCGGGUCAGGCUA